rnacentral:tRNA from 1 species
AAGGAUUUAGUUUAAAAAAAACACUAACUUGUCAAGUUAAAAAUAUUAUGUAUAAUAUUCCUUA